UACGGGGGGGGCAAGCGUUGUUCGGAAUUACUGGGCGUAAAGGGCUCGUAGGCGGCCAACUAAGUCAUACGUGAAAUCCCUCAGCUUAACUGGGGAACUGCGUGUGAUACUGGAUGGCUUGGAUUUGGGAGAGGGAUGCGGAAUUCCAGGUGUAGCGGUGAAAUGCGUAGAUAUCUGGAGGAACACCGGUGGCGAAAGCGGCUUCCUGGUCCAGCACCGACGUUCAGGCACGAAAGCGUGGGGAGCAAACAGG
rnacentral:rRNA from 1 species